rnacentral:rRNA from 1 species
AACGAACGCUGGCGGCGGGCCUCAUACAUGCAAGUCGAGCGCGAAAGUCCGCAAGGAUGAGUAAAGCGGCGCACGGGUGAGUAACACGUGGGUAAUCUACCUUUUGGAUUGGAAUAACCUGUCGAAAGACGGGCUAAUGCCAAGUAAGUUCUUUGGAACGUGGAGUUUUGAAGAAGAAAGAUGGCGCAAGCUAUCGCCGAAAGAUGAGCCUGCGUCCCAUUAGUUAGUUGGUGGGGUAAUGGCUUACCAAGAUAAUGAUGGGUACCUGGUCUGAGAGGAUGACCAGGCACACUGGAACUGAAACACGGUCCAGACUCCUACGGGAGGCAGCAGUAGGGAAUAUUGCGCAAUGGACGAAAGUCUGACGCAGCCACGCCGCGUGAGUGAGGAAGGCCUUCGGGUUGGUUGAAGCUCUGUCAACUGGG